GAGGAAUAUUGGACAAUGGGCGCAAGCCUGAUCCAGCCAUGCCGCGUGCAGGAUGACGGUCCUAUGGAUUGUAAACUGCUUUUGUACGAGAAGAAACACUCCGACGUGUCGGAGCUUGACGGUAUCGUAAGAAUAAGGAUCGGCUAACUCCGUGCCAGCAGCCGCGGUAAUACGGAGGAUCCAAGCGUUAUCCGGAAUCAUUGGGUUUAAAGGGUCCGUAGGCGGUCUUAUAAGUCAGUGGUGAAAUCUCCCCGCUCAACGGGGAAACGGCCAUUGAUACUGUAGGACUUGAAUUAUUAGGAAGUAACUAGAAUAUGUAGUGUAGCGGUGAAAUGCUUAGAGAUUACAUGGAAUACCAAUUGCGAAGGCAGGUUACUACUAAUGGAUUGACGCUGAUGGACGAAAGCGUGGGUAGCGAAC
rnacentral:rRNA from 1 species